rnacentral:rRNA from 1 species
CUGGUUGAUCCUGCCAGACCCGACUGCUAUCGGAUUGGGACUAAGCCAUGCGAGUCAACUCCGCAAGGGGUGGCGCACGGCUCAGUAACACGUAGUCAACCUACCCUGGGGACGGGGAUAACCUCGGGAAACUGAGGCUAAACCCCGAUGGGCCAUGGCUCCUGGAAUGGGCUAUGGCUGAAAUCUACAUGGCCCCAGGAUGGGACUGCGGCCGAUCAGGUUGUUGGUGGGGUAAUGGCCCACCAAGCCUAUAACCGGUGCGGGCUCUGAGAGGAGGAGCCCGGAGAUGGGCACUGAGACAAGGGCCCAGGUCCUAUGGGGCGCAGCAGGCGCGAAACCUCCGCAAUGGGCGAAAGCCCGACGGGGUCAGUCCGAGUGGUUCCCGCUGAGGGAACCUUUUGCCAGCUGUAAACAGGCUGGCGAAUAAGGGGUGGGCAAGUUUGGUGUCAGCCGCCGCGGUAAUACCAGCACCCCGAGUGGUCGGGACGAUUAUUGGGCCUAAAGCAUCCGUAGCCGGCCCAGUAAGUCCUCCGUUAAAUCCAACGGCUCAACCGUUGGGCUGCGGGGGAUACUGCUGGGCUAGGGGACGGGAGAGGCGAGGGGUAUUCCCGGGGUAGGGGUAAAAUCCACUGAUCCCGGGAGGACCACCAGUGGCGAAGGCGCCUCGCUAGAACGUGCCCGACGGUGAGGGAUGAAAGCUGGGGGAGCGAACCGGAUUAGAUACCCGGGUAGUCCCAGCCGUAAACGAUGUAGGCUCGGUGUUGGGCUGCCUCAGUGGCAGCCCAGUGCCGCAGGGAAGCCGUUAAGCCUACCUCCUGGGGAGUACGGCCGCAAGGCUGAAACUUAAAGGAAUUGGCGGGGGAGCACCCC